rnacentral:misc_RNA from 1 species
AAAGCACUGGGGGAGCCGAAGCUCCCCCUAAAUUCUGCAUGCUUUGUUUUCUUAUUAUUGGUCCGGGCUUGUUUGGUUUUUGUGUCACCCGUUUCCACAAGCCUGAGCUUGCGAAAUAACCCCUAGGAUCGGGAGUGAAGAGCAAACGGAUUUCUUUGGGCGCUGACCGUGCCUUCUACUGCUCCAUUUGCAACCAGUGUCUCAGCCACUCGAGUGGUC